rnacentral:lncRNA from 1 species
CAACUAAAAUCUAUUGCUGAAUUCCAUCAUUGUCUGAUCUCGACCUUUUGGCCAGUGCUGCUGCUUACGUUACCUUCGAAACUGACAUUAUAGUUCCAUCACUUGUCCAAUUAUCCUAAAUCACCUUCAAAUGCCACUAUAACGGGUUAAUUAUUCAAGUAUCCUAAAUCUGCAGCUUCGACCAGGAACAUGGAAGAGAAACACUCGUUGGGGCCUACAAGGACCCCUUCACUCAAUAACGGGAGAUAUUUUCUAUUAUUUGUUCAUGAUUAUACUCGAAUGAUGUGGCUGUAUUUCCUUGAUCACAAAUCAUAAGCUUUUUUGUUUUGUUUUCUUAAGAUUCUUAUCACAUGUUGAAAGAGAAAGUGGCAGGAAAUUGAAGACUUUAAGAACGGAUCGUGGAGUUCAAUUUAUUAGCAAUCACUACAUGAAUUACUGCAGCAAAGAAGGCAUAAAAAGACGGCUUACGGUUAGGCAUUCCCCACAUCAAAAGGGAGUCGCAGAGCGGAAAAACCGCACAAUCGCUGAAAUGACAUGAAGCAUG